rnacentral:tRNA from 1 species
GGUUGUAGCUCAGUGGUAGAGUGCUUGUCUGGCAAGUGUGAGGCACCGAGUUCGAUUCUCAGGACCA